GUGGGGAAUAUUGGGCAAUGGGGGCAACCCUGACCCAGCGACGCCGCGUGAGGGAAGAAGGCCUUCGGGUUGUAAACUGCUUUUGUACGGAACGAAACGGCUCUGGUUAAUACCCGGGGCUAAUGACGGUACCGUAAGAAUAAGCACCGGCUAACUACGUGCCAGCAGCCGCGGUAAUACGUAGGGUGCAAGCGUUAAUCGGAAUUACUGGGCGUCAAGCGUGCGCAGGCGGUUUUGUAAGACAGGCGUGAAAUCCCCGGGCUCAACCUGGGAAUGGCGCUGGUGACUGCAAAGCUGGAGUGCGGCAGAGGGGGAUGGAAUUCCGCGUGUAGCAGUGAAAUGCGUAGAUAUGCGGAGGAACACCGAUGGCGAAGGCAAUCCCCUGGGCCUGCACUGACGCUCAUGCACGAAAGCGUGGGGAGCAAACAGGAUUAGAAACCCUAGUAGUCC
rnacentral:rRNA from 1 species